AGUGGACGCUGGCGGUAGGCCUAACACAUGCAAGUCGAACGGCAGCACAGUAAGAGCUUGCUCUUACGGGUGGCGAGUGGCGGACGGGUGAGGAAUACAUCGGAAUCUACUUUUUCGUGGGGGAUAACGUAGGGAAACUUACGCUAAUACCGCAUACGACCUACGGGUGAAAGCAGGGGAUCUUCGGACCUUGCGCGAUUGAAUGAGCCGAUGUCGGAUUAGCUAGUUGGCGGGGUAAAGGCCCACCAAGGCGACGAUCCGUAGCUGGUCUGAGAGGAUGAUCAGCCACACUGGAACUGAGACACGGUCCAGACUCCUACGGGAGGCAGCAGUGGGGAAUAUUGGACAAUGGGCGCAAGCCUGAUCCAGCCAUACCGCGUGGGUGAAGAAGGCCUUCGGGUUGUAAAGCCCUCUUGUUGGGAAAGAAAAGCAGCAGGUUAAUACCCCGCUGUUCUGACGGUACCCAAAGAAUAAGCACCGGCUAACUUCGUG
rnacentral:rRNA from 1 species